GCAAAAGGAAUAAAUUAUAAAGAAUUAGUAUGUUGAUGAUAUAAUAAUCAUCCAAACUAGCACGUGGGAAUAUAUACGCAGCCACUUAUCGAAGAUUAUUGAAUCGACGUCAAUUAGUCAAGCUACAAUGAAUCUAUUCUAUAUAAAAAUCUCUCCGCAAUGACUAGUUCAUGUCAUGAUAGAAGAUUAUCUUUCAUCAAAUAUCAAAUGUAAAUAAAAAGAAAGGCAUAAGCAUCA
rnacentral:misc_RNA from 1 species